rnacentral:rRNA from 1 species
UACGGGGGGGGUUAGCGUUGUUCGGAAUGACUGGGCGUAAAGCGCGCGUAGGCGGAUCAGGAAGUUGGGGGUGAAAUCCCGGGGCUCAACCCCGGAAUGGCCUUCAAAACUCCUGGUCUUGAGUUCGAGAGAGGUGAGUGGAAUUCCGAGUGUAGAGGUGAAAUUCGUAGAUAUUCGGAGGAACACCAGUGGCGAAGGCGGCUCACUGGCUCGACACUGACGCUGAGGUGCGAAAGCGUGGGGAGCAAACAGG